rnacentral:rRNA from 1 species
GAUGAACGCUGGCGGCGUGCUUAACACAUGCAAGUCGAACGGAAAGGCCUCAGCUUGCUGGGGUACUCGAGUGGCGAACGGGUGAGUAACACGUGGGUGAUCUGCCCUGCACUUUGGGAUAAGCUUGGGAAACUGGGUCUAAUACCGAAUAUGGCCACUUCUUGGAUGUUGUGGUGGAAAGCUUUUGGGGUGUGGGAUGAGCCUGCGGCCUAUCAGCUUGUUGGUGGGGUAAUGGCCUACCAAGGCGGCGACGGGUAUCCGGCCUGAGAGGGUGUACGGACACAUUGGGACUGAGAUACGGCCCAGACUCCUACGGGAGGCAGCAGUGGGGAAUAUUGCACAAUGGGCGCAAGCCUGAUGCAGCGACGCCGCGUGGGGGAUGAAGGCCUUCGGGUUGUAAACUCCUUUCGCUAUCGACGAAGCCACUUGUGGUGACGGUAGGUAGAUAAGAAGCACCGGCUAACUACGUGCCAGCAGCCGCAGUAA